GAUUAUGGCUCAGAUUGAACGCUGGCGGCGUGCUUAACACAUGCAAGUCGCGCGUGAAAGGACUUCGGUCCGAGUAAAGCGGCGCACGGGUGAGUAACGCGUGGAUGAUCUACCCAUGAGUUAGGAAUAACGGCUGGAAACGGUCGCUAAUACCAAAUACGCUCCGAUUUCAACUUCGGGGGAAAGGUGGCCUCUGCUUGCAAGCUACUGCUCAUGGAUGAGUCCGCGUCCCAUUAGCUAGUUGGUGGGGUAACGGCCCACCAAGGCGACGAUGGGUAGCCGGUCUGAGAGGAUGACCGGCCACACUGGGACUGGAACACGGCCCAGACUCCUACGGGAGGCAGCAGUGGGGAAUAUUGCGCAAUGGGCGAAAGCCUGACGCAGCGACGCCGCGUGAGGGAUGAAGGUCCUCGGAUCGUAAACCUCUGUCAGGAGGGAAGAACCGCCACGGUGCUAAUCAGCCGUGGUCUGACGGUACCUCCAAAGGAAGCACCGGCUAACUCCGUGCCAGCAGCCGC
rnacentral:rRNA from 1 species